UACGUAGGGUGCGAGCGUUGUCCGGAAUUAUUGGGCGUAAAGAGCUCGUAGGCGGCUUGUCGCGUCGGAUGUGAAAGCCCGGGGCUUAACUCCGGGUCUGCAUUCGAUACGGGCAGGCUAGAGUUCGGUAGGGGAGAUCAGAAUUCCUGGUGUAGCGGUGAAAUGCGCAGAUAUCAGGAAGAACACCCGUGGCGAAGGCGGCUCUCUGGGACGGUACUGACGCUGAGACGCGAAAGCGUGGGGAGCGAACAGG
rnacentral:rRNA from 1 species